AGCAGCAGCCGCGGUAAUACAGAGGGUGCGAGCGUUAAUCGGAUUUACUGGGCGUAAAGCGUGCGUAGGCGGCUUCUUAAGUCGGAUGUGAAAUCCCUGAGCUUAACUUAGGAAUUGCAUUCGAUACUGGGAAGCUAGAGUAUGGGAGAGGAUGGUAGAAUUCCAGGUGUAGCGGUGAAAUGCGUAGAGAUCUGGAGGAAUACCGAUGGCGAAGGCAGCCAUCUGGCCUAAUACUGACGCUGAGGUACGAAAGCAUGGGGAGCAAACAGGAUUAGAUACCCCAGUAGUCCCUGUCUCUUAUAA
rnacentral:rRNA from 1 species